GCCAGCUGGAGGAAGAGAUCGAGGUACAGUGUUUGUGUACAUCCAAUUAUUGUUGAUUUUUCUACGGUUUCUGUAAAUUUUCUGUUGACUUGAAAACGAAAACGAGUUAGCUCAAUAAUUAAGCAUGAUAAUUAUUGUGUGUGCAGUUAUUGUUUUAUGGUUGCGCCAACGGAGCCAAGUAAUGUGUCGCGUUGGCUCAGAAGUGACAGCUCCAUAUUUGAAUUGUAUUGCAUAACAUAACAACAUUGCAAGUACAUAAAACGUACAGUACACUGGUGCAUGAGAGACCCGAGCUCUACAGCUGACUGAAUAACAUCGCAUGCCUCUAAUUGAUAAAUGGUCCGAGCUAUGAAAACAGUUGAUUCUUGGCUCAACAUCAUUGUUAUCAGUAGGCGACAUAUGACAGGCGCUGGGUGUAACGUUAGCCCUCUACGGGUUACACCCCCCGUAAACCUUCUGUCCUGAAGCUACUGCACCGGGGCUCUGAGUCAUCUGUCGAAAUGCAUGUAUUGCUUCUGAAAGAACCAAGAGAGGAGGCUCUGGACCAGAUCCUUACAUCAAGGAGCUGGCAUCGCGUGGACACGAAGCAACCUUAAUUCCUGUGUUGUCGUUUACAUUUGUUUCCUUGAACACAUUGUCAGACAAGGUGAAUACCAUUUAUUUAAAA